AGCAUAGUGGCCGAGUGGUUAAGGCGAGUGACUUAAGUUUUCAACCAGUCAUCACUUGAGCGAAAGCUCUCACGAGUUCAAAUCUCGUCUAUGCUA
rnacentral:tRNA from 2 species